rnacentral:tRNA from 1 species
AUUAGCUCAGUUGGUAGAGCAGUAGACUCUUAAUCUAUUUGUCCAGGGUUCGAAUCCCUGAU